UUUUCACUUUCUCCAAAAACAUCCAGAUCUCCAAAUCUGGAGAAAAUAUUUCAAACCCCACACACAAUCUUAAAUCCCAUAUCUCCUAAAAUUUAUUUCCCCCCCAAAUUUCUAACACCCUACCUACGAAUCCAACCUCUGCCCUUGUCCUGGUGAAUCGUCAAGAGCCGCGAACCACUCCGCCAUGGACCAUCUCGCAAGACAUCCGAUCCCUCGCCGAAGUUGUGCCUGAAGGUUGUACAUCAGCCAGUGGCAUGCAAUGAAGUUCGUGGACAACACAGCUACGAGCUCCCGCGCGUUUCCUGUCCGAGGAACUGCCGCCCCUCGGUGAUGUUCUGUCGCACUGGAAAAAUGAUAUAGGAUGAAAGAAUCAUGGACAAAGAAACAAUCUGAAGGUGAUUCUGAGAUUUCAGCAUGGGAUAGUAAAAGUCGCAAGUUAGAGAAGAAUAGAGCAUUGUAGCUCUCAAAGAUUUUUGAGGAGCAUGUUUUUUCCCCUUUUAUGUUGUACCUAUAUUUUAUGAUCUUUAAGACACUGUUUCUCCCAGUUUAAAUAUGUAAUCAUUACAACAUGCUAAAAAUUUCACUUGACAAAAUUGUAAUAUAGGGAAGUGAAAAUUGCAGUAGAGGGAAGUGAUGAUGAGGAUACAGCCCAACACACUAGUAUGUGUUGCAUUGCAAGCCUCUUACUUACAUUUGAACUUCUCUGGCUUCAUUUGCUUGUGCGCGAAGAAUGGAAAAAUGCAAACGCAGAAGUUGAAGAUGUCCACAUACAUGAUGUGCGAGAUUCUGGACCAAAUUGGAGCUAUUAAAGAAAUAUGUGAAGCACUUUCGUUGAGAUGGAGCGUAGUGUUGUUAGUUUGAACAUGUUUUUGUCUUUUUUUGUUUGUUUUUUUGUAUAUAGAUUCAAGUUUAAUUUUAAGGAGCCUAGUAUAGAUAUAAUACUUUUUGGAUAUGUAAAUAGGUCUGAUAUAUCAUAUUUGGAAUUAAUUUGUA